UAGGGAAUCUUCGGCAAUGGACGAAAGUCUGACCGAGCAACGCCGCGUGAGUGAAGAAGGUUUUCGGAUCGUAAAACUCUGUUGGUAGAGAAGAACGUUGGUGAGAGUGGAAAGCUCAUCAAGUGACGGUAACUACCCAGAAAGGGACGGCUAACUACGUGCCCGG
rnacentral:rRNA from 1 species